GGACGGGUGAGUAACGCGUGGGCAACCUGCCCUGUACAGGGGGACAACAGCUGGAAACGGCUGCUAAUACCGCAUAAGCGCACGGUAUUGCAUGAUACAGUGUGAAAAACUCCGGUGGUACAGGAUGGGCCCGCGUUGGAUUAGGUAGUUGGUGGGGUAACGGCCUACCAAGCCGACGAUCCAUAGCCGACCUGAGAGGGUGACCGGCCACAUUGGGACUGAGACACGGCCCAAACUCC
rnacentral:rRNA from 1 species